AAAAAAAAUGCUUGAAGUAUUUUUGGAGAAAAAAAAUCAGGAUCAUUAAAAAAAUUUAUAUAUGGAAAAUACAAAUUUAAAUUGGGUGAAAUUAUGGAUGAACUCAAUGACGAUUAAAUUGGUAGGUUACGAUUGAAUUUGAUUUUGAAAAAUUUAAAUUUGAUAAAAGAAACACGUAGGUCAUCAAAAUAAACUUUUUUAUGGAUAUAAGGAAAAUACAAAUUUAAAUUUGAUAAAAAAACACGUAAGAAAUAAAUGCUUGAAAUAUUUUUGGAGCGAAAAAAUUGAGAUCUUUAAAAAAAUUUAUAUACGGAAAAUACAAAUUUAAAUUAAGUGAAAUUAUAGAUGAAAUUAACGAUGAUUAAAUUGGUAGACUUCGAUCGAAAUCCGAUUUUGGAAUAUUUGAAUUUGAUAAAGGAAACACAUAAGUCGUCAAAAUAUAAAAUUUUAGAAGCUGGAAACAUAUAAAAAAAACUACAUAUAAGGUUAUAAAAAGUCAACACAAUAAAAAAAAUAAGAUAAAGCAACAUAGAAAAAAAUUUAUCAUAAUAAAUAAGAAUUAUUUUGCCACAUAUUCUUUUCUCAUUCAUUUUGCCACAUGAUAAUUUUUUUGUAUUUUUGAAUUAACUAUUUUCUACUUAUCAUUAUUCUAUGUUUUUCAAUUAUUUAAAAAUGUUACUUAAUUGUAUUGUUAUAUAUGCAUAAACAUUUUAAUUAGACGUUUUUUUCCAUAAUAAAGUUACUUAAUUUAAACCUAUAUUGACAACCAAUGUACCGUUUUUUCACUGAAUUAAAUAUUAACAACUAUUUUCUUUAUUCAAAUAAAGUCACCGAGUAUAAUUUUUGGAAUGUUAAAUGUUAUACGAAUAUAAUUUUUGUAUAUCAUCAAUGGAAAUUCUUUUCUAAAUCAUGAUUGGUUUAUUUUAAAUUGAUUAUGAAUAUAAGUGCUGGCUUUUAUGUUUAUUUUUUGUUUAUUUAGUGUUCAAAAGUACUUUGCUUUAGACUUGGCGCAACUUUAAAUAAUUUUGGUAUAUCAUCAAUGCAAUUUGGUAUAUAUCUUUCAAUUACAUAAAAUAUCAAAUAAUGACAUGUCAGUACUAUUGUGACGAUUUAGUUUACAUAUUGUAAUUUUACAAAUGUUAACGAUUUUUUUUUCUAAUAACUGUAACGCUCUUACUAAUUGUACUUUUUACAAAUCUCCUAACAUAUUAUAAUUUUUUUAUCUUACUUUAUAAUUUUUCAUAACUACGUUAUUUUCAAGACUGACUAUCAUAAAUACGAAACUUUUUUCACUGAGUUCGACCAAAAAGGGUUUUCCAUGACCAAUAUGACCUUUCAAAGACAGACAGAUUAGGGAAAAUGCUGAAAUAAGAGCUUUGGAUUUUUAAAUAAAAAAACCACAUACGUAUAUUGCUAUUCACUAAAUAUGUUAAAUACAAAAUAGAAAUUACAAUACACUUUGUAUCUACUGAACACAUAAACAACUCAAAAGAAAUUUAGAAAUUGCAAUUCAAAACAUUAUAUAUUAAAGUCAAAGUACAUUGAUAUUAACAAAAUAUGUUAAAACCAAGAAUUAUGGGCAAAUAUGUCAAACUAAUAGCAAUAUAAUAUUGAUAAUUAAAAACGCUGAAGGGUAAAUGGUAGUUUUAAUCAUCAACCAUCAUGCAAUCUAAACAAUCUCAGAAAAAAUUAAUUAUGUAAGACACACAUACAUACAUACAGUUAAUCAAAAGUCUUUGUGCUUUUCCCAUGGGCAUUUUAUCAAAUGUGUAGAGUGCGACAUCAAAUGCAAGGUUAAAAACACAAAAGUAAAAGAUUGAAAAACUAAUACUAACAUUUAUAAUCAAUAUUAUUCAUGCAUUCAAAGAUCACAAUCAAAUAAAAACUAAUGAGAAAUCGAAUACAAAUAAUAAAAAUUAAGAACUUCAUAUUAAAGAAGGAACCUGUAUGACGAACGUGAUGCUGCAAAGGGUGGUGCUCUUCGAACAAGAUGUUGCAAAGGGUUUGAAGAAAACAUAAUGUACAAAUAUGUAACGAUCAGUCCAGAAGGCCUUUUGAGAACAUUUUGGUGUUUUGGAUCCAUUCUCCAAGGAAGUGAAAAGCAAAGCAAGGUGGUGGUUCAAAGGAGAAGUUGUAGAUCUGGGAUUGUUACUUCAUUUCAGACCUUUUCAAGCUCGGGGAGUCGUCGGAGCAGCCGUUAGAGAUUCCUUACCGUGAGAUUUUGCAUUCAGCUUUGCCAGGUGAGUUUCCUCCUAUAGGAACGAGUCGAAGGCACCAAUGCCGGCCUAUUUGUAUGAUUAUAUGUAUCCGGAUUCCGAUCCGAUGCCGGGCAGUGCCCGAUGAAUGUUUAUAUGCUUUUCGGAUUUCGGUAUGAUGUUGGGCGAUGCCCAAGGAAUGUUUGUAUGCUUGAUGUCUUUGUGAUUCUUGCAUGUGUCUGUAUUUGUAUGUUUUUGGAUUUCGAAAUGCCCGUGGAAUGUUAGUAUGCUUUCGGAUUUUGGUCCUAUGUCAAGUGGGGCCUGAGGAAUGUUUAUAUGUUUAUGAUAUGUGUAUAUUUUAUGUGUAUUUGAUGAUAUGUUAUUAUUGUUGGGUUUUGUAUACUACAACAUCCUAUGAUGCACAUACAACCCUAAAUGCUUUGGAUCUAUGUUUUCUCUAAUUAUACAUGCAAUAUUGUUUCCAAAGCAUUAAGCCUACAACUAGCAUACAAUUGACAUAAACAACAAAGAAUUGAGUUAUGGAAUUACCUCUUUGUUGUAGCUUGUAGUUUUGGCCUUUAAGAACUUAGCACCUCAAAUGUGAUGCCUCAAAUGGUUUACAAAGACCAUGAACAAAGGAGGACUUGAGAUAGAGGCUACUUAGCACACAAAAUCAUUUAUCACUCUUUUUAGAAUGCAUGGGGCCGAUUUUGGUGACUAUGGGUUUCUUUUAUAGUGUGGCAAAGUCUAGGGUUACAUCCAUGCAAACCCUAAUUCACAUGACCCUUCAUAUUACUUUGGAUCCAUGGGUUAAACCUCCAUGGACUAUCCAUGUACUAUCAUAUUGGUUUAGCCCAUCUUAAAUAACCAUGGAUCAUUGGCCCACACUAUAAGAAUCAUUGAUUUACUUAAUCAGUCCCCGUAUAUUU